rnacentral:lncRNA from 1 species
AUUACGUCGAAAUAGCUCGAGCUGUAACCUAGGGUAAAUAAUAAUUCCUUUUCGUAUUCAUCAAGGUGCUUCUAAGUGCCAGUGCCAGGAGUCUCGCUCUGUUGCCCAGGCUUGAGUGCAGUGGCACGAUCGAUCUUGGCUCACUGCAACCUCCACCUCCCGAGUUCAAGCGAUUCUCCUGCCUCACCCUCCUGAGUAGCUGGGACUACAGGCCUGCGCCACCACACCUGGCUAACUUCUGAAUAUCAAGCUGAAAUUACUAUCAGAUAUCUUGCCACCACAUAGAGGCUUUGAGUGAAGUCUGCAUGGAGGAGAACAGAGCUGAGAGAUGGAAAGAUACUGAAUCCCAGUGACGUCCUUUGAGAUGUCGGAUCAAGCUGAGCUGGGCGUGAAGAUAGAGCUACUCCUAUACUUUUAAGAUACCAAUAACAAGCAAGAUUCAGAAGUCCAACAAGUAAGACAUUGAUUUCAUUAAGAGAGAACUAGUAAGCAAGCUAUUUGGGAAGUACACUCUCAUAAGAAUAUUGUUUCAUGAAGUCUUGAGCAACAUAGGAAAUAGUAAGUAAG